UCAUGACGAACGCUGGCGGCGUGCCUAAUACAUGCAAGUAGAACGCUGAAGAGAGGAGCUUGCUCUUCUUGGAUGAGUUGCGAACGGGUGAGUAACGCGUAGGUAACCUGCCUUGUAGCGGGGGAUAACUAUUGGAAACGAUAGCUAAUACCGCAUAACAAUAGGUGACACAUGUCAUUUAUUUGAAAGGGGCAAUUGCUCCACUACAAGAUGGACCUGCGUUGUAUUAGCUAGUAGGUGAGGUAACGGCUCACCUAGGCGACGAUACAUAGCCGACCUGAGAGGGUGAUCGGCCACACUGGGACUGAGACACGGCCCAGACUCCUACGGGAGGCAGCAGUAGGGAAUCUUCGGCAAUGGGGGCAACCCUGACCGAGCAACGCCGCGUGAGUGAAGAAGGUUUUCGGAUCGUAAAGCUCUGUUGUAAGUCAAGAACGAGUGUGAGAGUGGAAAGUUCACACUGUGACGGUAGCUUACCAGAAAGGGACGGCUAACUACGUGCCAGCAGCCGCGGUAAUACGUAGGUCCCGAGCGUUGUCCGGAUUUAUUGGGCGUAAAGCGAGCGCAGGCGGUUUGAUAAGUCUGAAGUUAAAGGCUGUGGCUCAACCAUAGUUCGCUUUGGAAACUGUCAAACUUGAGUGCAGAAGGGGAGAGUGGAAUUCCAUGUGUAGCGGUGAAAUGCGUAGAUAUAUGGAGGAACACCGGUGGCGAAAGCGGCUCUCUGGUCUGUAACUGACGCUGAGGCUCGAAAGCGUGGGGAGCGAACAGGAUUAGAUACCCUGGUAGUCCACGCCGUAAACGAUGAGUGCUAGGUGUUGGAUCCUUUCCGGGAUUCAGUGCCGCAGCUAACGCAUUAAGCACUCCGCCUGGGGAGUACGACCGCAAGGUUGAAACUCAAAGGAAUUGACGGGGGCCCGCACAAGCGGUGGAGCAUGUGGUUUAAUUCGAAGCAACGCGAAGAACCUUACCAGGUCUUGACAUCCCGAUGCUAUUUCUAGAGAUAGAAAGUUACUUCGGUACAUCGGUGACAGGUGGUGCAUGGUUGUCGUCAGCUCGUGUCGUGAGAUGUUGGGUUAAGUCCCGCAACGAGCGCAACCCCUAUUGUUAGUUGCCAUCAUUCAGUUGGGCACUCUAGCGAGACUGCCGGUAAUAAACCGGAGGAAGGUGGGGAUGACGUCAAAUCAUCAUGCCCCUUAUGACCUGGGCUACACACGUGCUACAAUGGUUGGUACAACGAGUUGCGAGUCGGUGACGGCAAGCUAAUCUCUUAAAGCCAAUCUCAGUUCGGAUUGUAGGCUGCAACUCGCCUACAUGAAGUCGGAAUCGCUAGUAAUCGCGGAUCAGCACGCCGCGGUGAAUACGUUCCCGGGCCUUGUACACACCGCCCGUCACACCACGAGAGUUUGUAACACCCGAAGUCGGUGAGGUAACCUUUUGGAGCCAGCCGCCUAAGGUGGG
rnacentral:rRNA from 1 species